UUAUUUUUUACUUUUUUUUUUUUCAUUCUACUGUGAUGUUUGCCUCCAAACAUCAUCUUGGUGAUAAGCUUUAUAUAAAAGCACUUAGGUAAUGGCAUCAAUCUUGUUUAGCACUUGAAUAAAUACAUUUGUUAUUUUUGUUUUCAUUUGUAUGUGUGUGUGUACUUUCAUCUUGUUUGUAUGAGGCCCUAGUUCCAUGAUGUGUAUGGUCAGAGGGCAACUUUGUGGAGUUAGUUCUCUCUACUUGUAUGUAGUUCCAGGAUUGGCUCAGGGUUUUUACCAACUGAACCAUUUUGCCAGCCUAAUAAAUGUUUUCCAUAAUUGAAAUCUUAAGGGUCUGAAAGCCAGACUGUGGUGGUGCACACCUUUAAUCCCAGUACUCAGGAGGCAGAGGCAGGUGGAUCUCUAUAUAUAAGUUUGAGGACAGCCUGGUCUACCCAGUGAGCUCCAGGAUGGCCAGGGUUACACAGAGAAAUCCUGUCUGGAAACCUGCCCUCCACCCCUAAAAAAAAAAUCUUAAGGGUCUGGAGAUCUAGUUCCAUUGGUGAAGUGCUUGUCGUGUAAACAUCAAGACCCAUAGUUCAGAUUCUCAACACCCGUGUAAAAGCUGACUGCAGUAACAUACAUCUGUAACCCCAGUAUUUGGUGGGUGAGAGUGGGGGUGGGUGGAUCCCUGUUCGAGUAUAAAGUGGGCAGUGAUAGAGGAGGGUGUGUGCAUCCUCAUGCACACUGUGCACACGCACACACGAGCAAUAUUACAAUUCUGUGGCAUGAAGGUGUGAUGUGCUGUGUGAUCAUGUAUGUGCACAGGUUCUUUCUGUCACUCUGUCCUGUUUCUUUGACACCAGGUCUCUCUCUGAACCUGGAAGCUCGCUAGGUUUUUGUUUUUUGUUUUUUUUUUAACCUAGGCUGGCAGCCAGUGAGCCCAAGCAACUCUAUCUGUCUCUGCGUCACUCAGUGCUUGGGUUACUGAAGUGUAUGAGGCCAUGCUUACAUUGCAAGCAUUUCUAACUGCUGAGCCACUUUUUUUAAUUAAUGAGACAGGGUCUUGUGUAGUUCAGGCUAAUGGAAACUCACUAUGUAGCCAAAGAUGACCUUGGACUCUCUCUUAAGCUCAAGGGCUAUUUUAUUGGAGUUUAAAAGAAAAGCAGUACAGGUUAGGUAAAAAUCCUGGAAGCCAUUAGGAGGAAAGAGAAAAGGUCUUGCCUUUUAAGUUAGGCAUGGAGUAGAAAUAGAGAUAGCUUAUUAAGGAAGGGAAAGGUACUCCCAAAACUGGGAGUGGGCUAGUGCGCUGAGGAAUGAGCAAGAAGUGUGACCUUGAGUUCUUAGUCUUCCUGCUUACACUUUCCAAAUGUUAGAAUUAGAGAAAUGUACCACCAGACAGGCAAGAACUUGAAGCCCUUUGAGGUUUUAUUUCAGGAAUACAUAUAAUGAGCAAAAUGAAACAUUGGUGAACCUCAGAGUGCAAGAAU
rnacentral:lncRNA from 1 species